UACGUAGGGACCAAGCGUUGUUCGGAUUUACUGGGCGUAAAGGGCGCGUAGGCGGCGCGGUAAGUCACUUGUGAAAUCUCUGAGCUUAACUCAGAACGGCCAAGUGAUACUGCAGUGCUAGAGUGUGGAAGGGGCAAUCGGAAUUCUUGGUGUAGCGGUGAAAUGCGUAGAUAUCGAGAGGAACACCUGCGGCGAAGGCGGGUUGCUGGGCUGACACUGACGCUGAUUGUGCGAAAGCUAGGGGAGCGAACGGGG
rnacentral:rRNA from 1 species